rnacentral:rRNA from 1 species
CAAUAGCGUAUAUUAAAGUUGUUGCAGUUAAAAAGCUCGUAGUUGGAUUUGUGGCGUACGGUGUGUUCCGGGCACUUGUUGUCUGAGUAACCUGCUGUUGCCAUCCUUGGGUGGAACCUGUGUGGCAUUAGGUUGUCGUGCAGGGGAUGCCCAUCAUUUACUGUGAAAAAAUUAGAGUGUUCAAAGCAGGCUUAUGCCGUUGAAUAUAUUAGCAUGGAAUAAUGAGAUAGGACUUUUUUGCUAUUUUGUUGGUUUGCGCAAAGAGGUAAUGAUUAAUAGGGACAGUUGGGGGUAUUCGUAUUCCAUUGCCAGAGGUGAAAUUCUUGGAUUUUUGGAAGACGAACUACUGCGAAAGCAUUUACCAAGGAUGUUUUCAUUAA